UAACAAGGUCUCCGUUGGUGAACCAGCGGAGGGAUCAUUAUAGAGUUUUCUAAACUCCCAACCCAUGUGAACUUACCAUUGUUGCCUCGGCAGAAGCUGCUCGGUGCACCCUACCUUGGAACGGCCUACCCUGUAGCGCCUUACCCUGGAACGGCUUACCCUGCAACGGCUGCCGGUGGACUACCAAACUCUUGUUAUUUUAUGGUUAUCUGAGCGUCUUAUUUUAAUAAGUCAAAACUUUCAACAACGGAUCUCUUGGUUCUGGCAUCGAUGAAGAACGCAGCGAAAUGCGAUAAGUAAUGUGAAUUGCAGAAUUCAGUGAAUCAUCGAAUCUUUGAACGCACAUUGCGCCCAUUAGUAUUCUAGUGGGCAUGCCUGUUCGAGCGUCAUUUCAACCCUUAAGCCUAGCUUAGUGUUGGGAGCCUACUGCUUUUGCUAGCUGUAGCUCCUGAAAUACAACGGCGGAUCUGCGAUAUCCUCUGAGCGUAGUAAUUUUUAUCUCGCUUUUGACUGGAGUUGCAGCGUCUUUAGCCGCUAAACCCCCCAAUUUUUAAUGGUUGACCUCGGAUCAGGUAGGAAUACCCGCUGAACUUAAGCAUAUCAA
rnacentral:rRNA from 1 species